UUCAGCCUGAUCCAACUAAAUGUUCUU
rnacentral:piRNA from 1 species